UCUGAGUUUACUUAAUCUUACAUUUUGUGGGUAUAUAUACACAUUGUGUGGUGUUAGUCUCUGUCGUGUCCAACUCUUUGUGACCCUGUGGACUGUAGCCCGCCGGGCUCCUCUGUCCAUGGGGUUCUCCAGGCAAGAAUACCGGAGUGUGUUGUCAUUUCCUUCUCCAGGGAUCUGCCUGACCCAGGGAUCAAACCUGGCUUUGCCGCAUUGCAGGAAAUUCCCUCUUUACCACUGAGCCACCAAGGAAACCCAGUGACUAACACACACACAACACACUGUGUGUGGAGCCCGUGAUAAGUCUGUUUUGAAUGACAUCUUGCCUUGCGGAGGAAGCACCAGCCUUGAGGAUGGAAGGUCUGUACUGGCUGUGUGCUCCCGUGAUGAUAAAACACUCCCCAGAUAAAUGACAGGGUCCUGCUGGAGAGCAGAGGGACCCAUAUUCAACACCCUCUGAUGAACCGUAUGGGAAAGAAUACGAACAACUACAUGUGUCUGCGUGUGUGCCCGGGUCACACUGCUGCACAGCAGAAGCUAACACCUCCUAAACCAGCUACACGCCAGUCAAAUGAAAAAUAAACAUUCCUCCAAUGAAGCACUUGGUUUCGGUCUCUCUGGCCGGCUCUUCUCUCCUGGGUGUUAAGAAAGACUCUGAGUGUGAGCAGCUCUGUGACCAGUUACACAGGAAACUUCUCUUUCUGAGCAGAUCAACCAGUUUUGUUACAACAAUGAAUAAAGCUCUUGGCCAGUGUCUGCCCGGUGGGUGGUGAGUGGCCCAGGAUUACUGCUGGAACCGGACUGAAUGUCUUGGAAGUGACUUCCGCAUCCAACGAUGCCUGUGAGACGGCCCAGAGUCUCUGCAGGCGAUCUGAUCUUGGGGCUGAAAGUGUCACUGGCUCCGUGUAUUUAUUAUGUUUUAAUAACACAAGGAAAAGUGUCCCCGGCAGUGAGCUGAGUCAUAAGAAGGCGUGUGUGGUGCACCGGCUUCCAGAAAAUCCACACCUGGACUGGUCCCAGCACACAGACGGCACCGCCGCUUCUGAAAACACCAGGGUCAGAAAGAAACAUCUCCUCUUUCCGUAGAAAGGGGCUUCACACAGAGGGCCUUCCCUGGUGGCUCAGUGGUAAAGAAUCCACCUGCCAACGCAGGAGACGAGGGUUUGAUCCUUGGGUCAGAAAGAUCCCCUGGAGGAGGGCAUGGCAACCCACUCCAGUAUUUGUGCUCAGAGAAUCCCGUGGACAGAGGAGCCUGGUGGGCUGCAGGACAUGGGGUCGCAGAGUCGGGCAUGACUGAGCGACUGAACAACCUCGCAGAGGGGCCUUCCGAGGUCUGUAACCAACGCCGUCUGUGAGCCAGGUGCUGGGGUCUUCAUGGAACUCCUCUCCGGCCCUGAUUUAGCUCAGGUUUACUGCUGAAGAGACUGCGGGGCAGAGUGUGGAUUUAGGGUGCCUGACU
rnacentral:lncRNA from 1 species